rnacentral:rRNA from 1 species
GAUGAACGCUGGCGGCGUGCCUAAUACAUGCAAGUCGAGCGAACAGACGAGGAGCUUGCUCCUCUGACGUUAGCGGCGGACGGGUGAGUAACACGUGGAUAACCUACCUAUAAGACUGGGAUAACUUCGGGAAACCGGAGCUAAUACCGGAUAAUAUAUUGAACCGCAUGGUUCAAUAGUGAAAGACGGUUUUGCUGUCACUUAUAGAUGGUUCCGCGCCGCAUUAGCUAGUUGGUAAGGUAACGGCUUACCAAGGCAACGAUGCGUAGCCGACCUGAGAGGGUGAUCGGCCACACUGGAACUGAGACACGGUCCAGACUCCUACGGGAGGCAGCAGUAGGGAAUCUUCCGCAAUGGGCGAAAGCCUGACGGAGCAACGCCGCGUGAGUGAUGAAGGUCUUCGGAUCGUAAAACUCUGUUAUUAGGGAAGAACAAAUGUGUAAGUGACUAUGCACGUCUUGACGGUACCUAAUCAGAAAGCCACGGCUAACUACGUG